UCAAGACCCCUGACUGUCAUCAAGACCCCUGACUGUCUUCAAGACCCCUGACUGUCUUCAAGACCCCUGACUGUCUUCAAGACCCACCUGAUGCACCACCAGACCUGGUCACUGACCGGACCACGGGGGGCCAUUGACCCCCUCAACCCCCUCCAGAUAUAUCAUCAACACAAGAAAUGUUGCAGACCUGAUCCACACACAGCUUUAAGAAGAGGUACAAUAAGACCCCUGGAAGCCAUAAUCUAACCCAUGAAAAGCGAGGCCAGGAGCUAGGACUCAACUGUGAACGUAUACGUACCGUACCUGUCCAGUAUGUGUCCGAUCUCCACACUAGAAAUUUAACAGCAAAAUGUUAAAUUAUACCAGAAAUAGCUUUAUAUAGUGUAAAAACACAUUAUCAUCAGCAUUAUCGUAAUAUUCUCCAACCCCCUGAGCGUUUAGCGCUUCCCUGUCGGUAUAAUACCAGAGUAAAAAUAGAAUAAUAUUAAUAAUGCUGGAUGUCAGUGGCAAUAAUUACCCGAGUGUAUAUAAGGGUGAGACGCGGCUGUGUUAAGGCCAGUGUGGUCACGACCUUCAGAGGGGGAGGACGUGCGCUGCUGCUGCUGCUUGUCUGUCUUAUCCUAACCUAACUAUUACUGCACCCUUUAGUGGAUCAAGAUGGAUGCUCGCCGGAGGAACUUUAUAAGGAACCAUUGUACUGUAAAGAGGAAUAUAGGAGAAUUAACAAUCUAUGAGAUAAAUACCAAGGUUGUUUACAGAGAUAAAGACAACAAGAUACAAGUGGUGAGCAUUGGACCUGCGAAUGAGGUACCCAUCAAGGCAGUGCUCCUGUUAGGAGAGACAGGUGCUGGCAAAACGCAUGCCAUCAACACCAUGAUCAACUAUCUACUACAUGUCCGCUUUGAAGAUGACUUUAGAUUCCAGUUGAAAGAUUAUGUCUCAAGUGAUAAUCUUCGGCAAAUCGACAGUCAGACAGAAUAUAUCACUGCUUAUAUAAUAUCACGUCACCUGGGAGUGCCUUUCGACUGUAACUAUGCGUUGAUAGAUUCUCCUGGGUUUGGUGACACCAGAGAAAACCAUGAGAGAGCCACUAUAGAGAGACUCACUCAUUUUCUCACAACUGAUUAUGGAAUAGAUUACCUUGAUUGUGUUGGUUUAGUAGCAAAGUCAAAUCAAAACAGGAUAUCAAAUCAUCAGUUGCAAAUGCUAAAAGAGUUCACCUCUGUUCUAGGAAGUGAUAUUGGUGUUAUAACACAGCUUCUGGCAACACAUGCUUCAGAUGGGUUGCCUCUGGUUCUUGAUGUGGUUAAAAAUGCCAAAGUUCAAUUUCAAAAUUGGUAUGCAUUCGACAACUGGCCUUUGUACAUUUCAAAAGAUGAUAAUGUCCAUCAGGAAGGAUAUCUUGAGUAUAGAUGGAGAAAAAUGCAAGAAGAGCAGGGCAGAUUUUUUAAAGACUUACAAAAUGUGCAUCAAAUAAGCCUCAAGAGAACAAGGGAACUUCUACAGGAAAAACAAUCUUUUGAAAAAACAAAAUCUACUCUUAUGAACAAUAUAAAGAUGAGUGUUGUACUGAAAAAUAAAAUUGUCUAUCUAAAUAAAAAUCUCAAGAAAAGUACAGAACUGGUAAAUAAUCUUGAGGAAGUAUCAUGGGUAAAGUGUACAAUACCUAGAGGAUAUCAUGUCCACAACUGUGAUAUCUGCCAGAAAACUUGUAGAGAAAUGUGUGAAAACCCAAAGAAUAUUGCUGCUGCAUUUGCUGGAACUGGUGCUGGGGUUGGCACUGCAACUGUUGCAGGACUUGCAAGUGCAGGAAUUGCUGGAGGAGUGGGAGGGGCUGAGGUGGGUGCUUUGGGUGGUCCCGUAGGAGCCAUAAUUGGUUUAUCCAUUGGUGCUGGCAUAGGUUUAAUUUCUGGAUUAAGCACUGGACUUGCGAUAAGAAAAGCAACAAAAAACUGUCUGGCUCAUUCACGUGAGGUUUGUCAUAAGAAUGGCUGUCGUCAUGAACUGAAAGACCACGUAGUUGACACAGAAUAUGUGUGGAGAAUAAAAAUUGACCCUAGCAAAAUCGACACCUAUUUUUUAGUACUGGAGGAAAGUUCACAGCUCAAGAAACAAAUUACAGAUAAUGAAAAGACUUUGAAAGAUCUGCAAGAAAAGAGGAAUAUUCUGGCUGAAGAUUUUAUGAAACACAUUGAGAAAAUAAAUGAACUGGGCACCGAACAAACAAACCCAGAUUUAAUAAUAAGUGAAAUAAUCUUGGGUGAGAGAGAGAAUUUCCAGCAUGUUGAACUCCUGAAGGAGUUUAACAAAAAGUUGUCUGAUGACUAUACUGCUGGAAAACGAGAGUAAUACUAAUGAUACAGUCUGGAGUGCUGAUGAACACUGAUAACUACCCUGAACCACAGGCUGAGGAACAAUGGUACAAGCGUGGUACAUGGACGACAGCCCCGAGGACCAGAGACUGGAGCACCACCAGUCGCCCCCGAAAUUCGUCUCUCUGGAUGAACUGUACAGUGAGACGGGAGUAAUGUACUGGAAGAUCAAAAACUUUUUUGAGGAGCACAUACACAUAGACGAGGAGAUCAGGUUUGUAACGGAAGGUUCGGGCUACUUCGACGUGCGUGACAAGGAAGACAAGUGGAUCAGGAUCGAGGUGGUGCCUGGGGACUUGCUCAUCC